UUUUGCUUUCCAUCCCAUUGAAACGAGCUUAUCUGUCUGCCCCUUCCCGUGUUGUUUGCAGCAAACAAAAGAAGAAGCUGAUCAAGAAGCCGCUGGAAAGGGAACACAUCGUUACGUCUCCUCAGUACUUGAAGAGGAUAGCCAAGAGGAAAAAGUUAACUGCCAAGAAAAAAGUGAAGAAGGAUGCAAAAAACAGCAAUUCUAAGGCAGAGGCUGUUCCAGAAAAUUGAUUCUCAUAUCUUGAAUGCACAGUCAACAUGAACAAGGUUUCUGCCGUAUUUGCAGGACUGGGGGAUCUGAGCCACAUAAGCUGCUGAUGGACAAACGAGGCCUCUCUUGUCUAUUUUGGCUGCAGUUUUAACUGUGACCACAGCAAUCCAAAACCAGACCUGGUUUGCAAUGGUUGUGUGGGAAGGAGACCAUCUCCUAAGUGCGAUGUUUUGCUAGGCUCACGUUCCAAAAGAGGACAAGUGUCAUAACUUGAAACAUCUUGUAGAUUUUUUGUGGAGGGGGAGUAGCUGAGAGGGUGUGUUGCCCAGAGCCGAGCCCAUUGUCCAUUCAAUGAUCAUGUGCUUUAUAAAGAUUCAUGUUUUUAUUAUGCAAGCAUUGGAUCAUUGUGGCUUGGGGUCUUGAAGUCUGUACUCUUCCCAAUAAAAUGAACCCAAAUGGUUUCAUCA